rnacentral:rRNA from 1 species
GAUGAACGCUAGCGACAGGCCUAACACAUGCAAGUCGAGGGGUAGCAUGGUGUAGCAAUACACUGAUGACGACCGGCGCACGGGUGAGUAACGCGUAUGCAACCUACCUACUACAGGGGGAUAGCCCGAAGAAAUUCGGAUUAAUACCGCAUAAAACAGGGGCUCCGCAUGGAGAUAUUUGUUAAAGAUUUAUCGGUAGUAGAUGGGCAUGCGUUCCAUUAGCUAGUUGGUGAGGUAACGGCUCACCAAGGCAACGAUGGAUAGGGGAACUGAGAGGUUGACUCCCCCACACUGGUACUGAGACACGGACCAGACUCCUACGGGAGGCAGCAGUGAGGAAUAUUGGUCAAUGGACGAGAGUCUGAACCAGCCAAGUCGCGUGAAGGAUGAAGGUUCUAUGGAUUGUAAACUUCUUUGUACAGGGGUAAACNCUCUACGUGUAGAGCCUUGCAAGUCUGUACGAAUAAGCAUCGGCUAACUCCGUGCCAGC